UACAAAAAAUUAGUCACUCAGUGGUGGCAGGUGCCUGUAAUUCCAGCUACUCGGGAGGCUGAAGCAGGAGAAUCGCUUGAACCUAGGAGGCAGAGGUUGCAAUGAGCCAAGAUUGCACCACUGCACUCCAGCCUGGGUGACAGAGCAAGACUCUGUCUCAAAAAAAAGAAAAAAAAAUAGAAAAAAAAAGUGAGGUAGCCUUUUUGCUUCUGCUUUUUCAGUUUCCAAGGUACCAUAUUUUGAGGCGGUGUUUCCUGCUCCACAUCAGGAGAUAAGGUUCUGACACAUUUGGGGUGACAGCUCCGUUUCAGGCGUCAAUCCAGAAGGGGAAAGCAUCACGGAAAAAGCAAGAAGAAAGCCAGAAACAGAGGGCUCCAUGUGAGGGAGUCUCCUGUGCAAACAGGCUCCAUACCACACGGGCGGCUGUAGAACGAUGGGUUCGUUGCCUGAUGCACGCGGCUCCAGGGGCUAAGUCCAUGUUUGAGUGAAAGCUGUAAAGUCCUUUGAACUGACUGCACCAUGGACCACACCAUAGUUAAACCAUAGUGACCCCUGUUACCAGCACGUACACCUCCAGAUGGCCUCCCAGACCCAGAAAGUCUGAAGUAACAGGAAAACUGUAAAAGAAGUAUAGCUAGCUCCUGCAGCACCUGAUUAACUGACCUUGUGACAUUCUGCCAUUGUUCCUGCUUCAAUUGAUAAGCCAACCUUGUGAUAUUGGACCCUGUGACAAUGCCCCCUGCCCCCAGCUUGCAAAAACUGCCUUGAAGUGUAACUUUCCACUGCCUAUCCCAAACCAGCUCCUAUCCCACCAUCCUCUGCUGACUCUCUUUUCAGACUCAGCCUGCUUGCACCCAAGUGAAUAACCAGCCUUGUUGCUUACACAGACAAGUUAUUGUUUAGAUGGUCUCUUCAUUCAGAGUUUGCUCAACAAAAGCUAUCAGAGAAUUAAUGAGCACAGAAUCUACACACACACAAAAAAAAUAGGCAAGCGCCUCUCUCCUCUCAUGAGAAAUGAAUCAAAAUAGACGUUUUCCCUGAAGGAGGACAGACUCCCUCAGCAAAAAGACUACUCCUGUUCUUUUCCUCAUAUCAGCAAUUUAUGCAGUGACCGUACAUUUAGUCUCAAGAAACUAGAGAUUUUUCUGUUUAAAGGCCCAAGGAGAAUAUAUUUGGCAUGAAUCCUUAGAGGAGUGGGAAGUUGUCUUUCUACUCGGCCUCACUUAUCUGAUUCUCCUCCCCAGGGUAGAACUUCUCAUGGCCUGGAGGCUGAUCCUCCAACUUGGUACCCAGAAGCCCUGCAAAGAUUUAAAAGCUUUGCAAGUCUAGUCUUUGUGGCUUAGCACCAACCCAGCCUGAUUUUGAACUAAUUGUCCCAGUUGACUGAGAUUUCUCUCUUUUGUUGUUGUUAGUCACUGGUCCAAGUGUUUUCUAUCCUUUAUUUCUCACUACAUAUGGCGUUUUCCCCUCAGUAUUUAAAUUGUUGAGGAUUUCAACAGUGCCAAUAUAUAAAGUAUAGAUUCAAGAAGCCCCUGCCCCCCUCACCCUCCCAGGUUACUCUAACUGAAGGGCUUCUCUCUGUGCCUCGCUUAAUUUCUUAGAGGCAAUAACUGAGAUCUUGUGUGGCUUUCAAAUGAAAGCUUAAUUUAAUGGAAGGAAAUAAAAGAAAAGUAAAAGCAUAUCUGUGUUUGUGAUUUUAAUAUUUACAACUCAGGAAUGGAU
ensembl:lncRNA